AGAAUCAACGCUGGCGGCGUGCCUAACACAUGCAAGUCGAACGAGAAAGUGGAGCAAUCCAUGAGUAAAGUGGCGCACGGGUGAGUAACACGUGACUAACCUACCUUUUAGUGGGGGGAUAACCUAGGGAAACCUGGGCUAAUACCGCAUAAUACCUACGGGUCAAAGCAGCAAUGCGCUGAAAGAGGGGGUCGCGGUCGAUUAGUUAGUUGGCAGGGUAAUGGCCUACCAAGACUGUGAUCGAUAUCCGGCCUGAGAGGGCGCACGGACACACUGGAACUGAAACACGGUCCAGACUCCUACGGGAGGCAGCAGUGGGGAAUUUUGCGCAAUGGGGGGAAACCCUGACGCAGCAACGCCGCGUGGAGGAUGAAGUCCCUUGGGACGUAAACUCCUUCGAUCGGGACGAUAAUGACGGUACCGGAAGAAGAGCCCCGGCUAACUUCGCGCCAGCAGCCGC
rnacentral:rRNA from 1 species